UCCCCUAUAGCUUAGUUAGCUAAAGCGUCCAACUGUUAUUUUAUAGACUAUCGGGAGAUCAGAAGUUCAAGCCUUCCCGGGGGGGGGAU